rnacentral:rRNA from 1 species
UACAGAGGGUGCGAGCGUUAAUCGGAAUUACUGGGCGUAAAGCGUGCGUAGACGGUUGCAUAAGUCGGAUGUGAAAUCCCCGGGCUCAACCUGGGAAUUGCAUUCGAGACUGUGUAGCUGGGGUGCGGAAGAGGGAAGCGGAAUUUCCGGUGUAGCGGUGAAAUGCGUAGAUAUCGGAAGGAACAUCAGUGGCGAAAGCGGCUUCCUGGUCCAGCACCGACGUUCAGGCACGAAAGCGUGGGGAGCAAAAGGG